GUCUAUGGCCAUGCCACCCUGAACCAGCCUGAUUCCAUCUGAUCUUGGAAGCUAAGCAGGGUCAGGCCUGGUUAGUACUUGGAUGGGAGACCACCUAGGAAGACCAGGUGCUGUAGGCG
rnacentral:rRNA from 1 species